rnacentral:rRNA from 1 species
UACGGGGGGAGCAAGCGUUGUUCGGAUUUACUGGGCGUAAAGGGCGCGUAGGCGGUCGUGACAGUUCACUUUUGAAAUCUCCGGGCUUAACUCGGAACGGUCAAGUGAUACUGUCGGACUAGAGUACAGAAGGGGCAACUGGAAUUCCCGGUGUAGAGGUGAAAUUCGUAGAUAUCAGGAGGAACACCGGUGGCGAAGGCGGUUCUCUGGGCAUUACCUGACGCUGAGGAGCGAAAGUGUGGGGAGCGAACAGG